rnacentral:snRNA from 1 species
GUGCUCGUUUCAGCAGCACAUAUACUAAAAAUUGGAAUGAUACAGAGAAGAUUAGCAUGGCCUGUGCUCAAGGAUGACAUAAUUCAUGAAGCUUUCCGUAUUUUU